GAUGAACGCUGGCGGCGUGCUUAACACAUGCAAGUCGAACGGAAAGGCCCCAGCUUGCUGGGGUACUCGAGUGGCGAACGGGUGAGUAACACGUGGGUGAUCUGCCCUGCACUUUGGGAUAAGCUUGGGAAACUGGGUCUAAUACCGGAUAUGACCACUUCUUGGAUGUUGUGGUGGAAAGCUUUUGCGGUGUGGGAUGAGCCUGCGGCCUAUCAGCUUGUUGGUGGGGUAAUGGCCUACCAAGGCGGCGACGGGUAUCCGGCCUGAGAGGGUGUACGGACACAUUGGGACUGAGAGACGGCCAAGACUCCUACGGGAGGCAGCAGUGGGGAAUAUUGCACAAUGGGCGCAAGCCUGAUGCAGCGACGCCGCGUGGGGGAUGAAGACCCUAGGGUCGUAAACUCCUUUCGCUAUCGACGAAGCCACUUGUGGUGACGGUAGGUAGAUAAGAAGCACCGGCUAACUACGUGCCAGCCGCCGCCGUAA
rnacentral:rRNA from 1 species